UUUUCUUUUCUGCCUCAACAGUAGAGUUUCUUCUUCCUUAGAGUUUUAACAAUCAGGCUUUUCCCAAUCCAAUGUUGAUUUUCAAUCUGGGGUCCAACAUCUUGGAGGAGAUCAGGGUGACAUUGGACUCUGGACGGGAAAAGAGCCUGACCACAUCCCACACAGAAGGUGGCAAGGAGGUCUGUCAGCAUAUCCAGAGGGUCUCCUGAAGCAGAGCACAGAGCAAGGGGUUGCAGCCCAGGGCACCUGCUGCUGUGUGGACAUGUUCCCUCUCCUGUUGGCCCCAAAGGGAAGUCCAUUAUGCGGGAGGAGCCAAGAGUUGGGACCUGGGACUGCGCAGAGAAGUAUUUAGCCCAAUAGUUCAAUCUGUCCCACCUACAGGACUCUCCUUAUUGCCUGUGUAUAAAUAAAGCAGUCCUCCACUAACCAAGAGGGGAUUUGCACAUGCCCUUCAUUGAGCUCCUAAGGACUGGGACAAAGCUCCCGGUGCACUUGUCAUAAGGGUCGCCAGGGGGCAGCAGCGGCCAGUAGGCUGCUAUGAAAAACUUAUGUGCCCAGAAUCAUGAGAGCAGAGAACCUUCCCAGAGCCAUCUCUUGAGAAGAGAACUCUGACUGGGUUGAGCCAGGCACGUCAGAGGGCAGCCGAUGACUCAUUCAAGUCUCUCCAAAGGGAAUUCUGGGAUAACUGUCAUCCCUGCCGAGUAACGGACAUUGGCAGCCUCAGCCAGGACACAGGCAGGAUGGGAGGCAAUGGACGCUGGCUUGGCGCGAUCGCUGAGUGGGUCUCAACAGUGUUGUUCAGCCAUGGAAUGAUCCUGUGCCCAUCACAAGGCAGAAGAGGAAGCUGCCUGGAGAUUCCCAAGGGAGUUCAAGUCAGAUCUUGGUGCCAGGGCUUGACUUAGACAGAAUACAGUCUCACGCUCUCCAAGGAGACUUGCUGCUCACUGCUAACAGAAUUUGCCCUUUGAAAGCAAGCACGGAAGAGCCAGAGAAUGUCCACCAGGAGCAGAUUCAAGAACCACAAUAGAUCAAAGCCAAGCAUCAAAAUGAAGGCAAAGGUGAUAUUUCAUCAUCCAGUGAAGCAACUGAGGAACCUGAAGGCAGAAGUUGAACCAGAGACUGUGAAGCACGCUGCAUGUUGUCUUGCUCCACCACUGAGUAGAGCACCAUUUCAAUUAACACAGUUACAUCCUUCAUCUUAUCUUCCCUAUAACUGUUCUGAUUCACUCAUGUGCUAUCUAAGGCUAUGUCUGGGUUCUUGGACUUACUGCAACUGGGGUCUCUGUUGAUGCUCAAGAACCAUGUUGUCACUAAGGCCAUGUGGAUGCCUGGGAUUUGGUCUACUACCUGAGGUCAUUUUGGUGUCAUAUGGCCAUGCCACUGUUGGGGCCAUGUUGAUUUGAGUGGCCAGUGCUGCUACUGGAGGACAUGAUUUCCAUGCCUGAGCUGCUCUCAAGGGGUCAUAAUUGGAUCCAUUGACCUGCAGUAACCAGGAUCUUAGUUGAUAUCUGUGGUUCCUGUCUCUGCCAAACUCAGUGAGGAUGCCUGGAUUCUGGACAGCCACCAGGGGCCUAGUUCACCACAAAUUCUAAGUAUCCUUCCUCCAUUAGAAAGGGGUGGUUCAUCACAUCAAGUUCAUCCUAUUGGGUCAUGCCUGUUCUUAAUGAACCUUUCGCCUCCACCUUCUGUCACAUAGGAGUUUCAGUGGAACUUUCAUGCUCAUCUCAAAAAUAUCAUGUAUUUUCUCUGCUUAUGAAUCCAGGUAGACAAAGCUCAUUUCGUCCUCAGUUUUUGUCUGAGAAUCAAUUACAAGCAUGCUCCUUUGCACAUCUAGAUGAGCUGGCACCAUAAAAAGUUCCUUUGCAAAGAGGUUCACUCCCUGGGUCCAUCUUUUGACUGACUUCAUCCUCAGACUUUGAUUUUGCAGAAGAAGGUACUAAAUGCCUGAAGUUGGGGAUAUCCUUGUUUUUUGCUCCUUUGAGCAUGAGGUGAUUCAUGUAAAUUUGAUGGCUUCACUUUUCGCCACUGGGUGUCUUUUCGUGUCCACAAGAAGACUCCUUCUGUAAUUCACAUGUUGAAUGCAUAACUUAAAAUCUCAUCUAUGGCCCUAGGCCUUAAUUUCUCAUAUUCUCUUUUGCAUUUGCAGUGACAGUAGGGCUCUGGCGUUUUCCUCUGCCCAUCUCUUGGUCAAGAAUGUCUUUUCCUUGCCUACAUGUAUUGGUUUUGAGAUGUUGUAGUUCAGGAUUCCAUUGCUGACACUGUCUAUGCAGACCGGGCAAAAGGUUCCUCUCAAAAAUUCAGGUUGGGUGUUAGGUUCCCUUUUGAUCAUUUUCUAGGAUCAUUCUGAUGUUCUUCUAUGUAUCCAAGUUUUUAUCUUCUGUACCUCUCUUUUCCCUUUUGACUCAUUAGUUAUGUUCCCUUGUAAACAGUACAGGCAGAUUGUUUUAACUGAAAUUGAACCUGCCACAGUCUUUGGUCUUCUUAUAGGUAUCUACAGGACUUAUAUGAGGUCUUUGAGCUUUAGAGUCUACAUGGUCACCAGUUAGAAAUUGUGUCAGCAUUCUUAGUUACUUCUCCUUUUGGUGUUUUUGAACACAUUUCCCUGUGUUAGGACCAUUGAUACCAUGCAUAAAUGUCACCUUAUUAUAUCCUCUUCCUGAGAGUCUUUGACACUCUCUUGAAGCUCUAGCUGUAAUCCACAUUCUUCCUGGGGUUCCAGGUAUGUUUCUUCAUACCCAAUCUCUGUUUCAUCCUGUUUCUGUUUCAACCUCUUCCAAAGCUUGGUUGUCUUAUGAGACUACAAAUAGUUGGCUUGCUCUUCCUGGAGUUUUUUCUUUUGACAUUUUCCUGCAAUGUCAGGGCUCUUGAUUGCAUGCUGAUGGUGAGGCAACUAUGUAGAGUGACAAUGACAAUUGGAUUGCUCUGCUUUGGUGUCCACUGUCUGCUGUGGUGUAGCUUUCUGAUUUCCAAGUCAAUGUGGCAAUCAGGAGGACUCUUGGUGGGUGCUCUUGUGUUGUUUUCCUCUUGAUGGUUGAAGUAUUAUUUAAUCCCCAAACGUAUGUUUCAUUCAUACUGGACAUGUUGGUUCCAGGUCAGGAACAACUGGGUAAAGAGCUCAGAGUUCCUCUUUAUCUGUGGAGUUUGCUUCUGUUUCUUUUCAACAUCAGCCACUACUUUUCUUUUGGUGAAUCUACCAAGUUAACCUUGUCUGUAAAGUGAAAAAAGAACAGAGCCAGUCUAGAAAACUGCAUGCAGUUCACACACUGGGUUUUGUUUUGGGGAGAAGUGAGACUCCAGGGCCACUGUAGAUUCUAAAAUUGUGAAAUCACACUGAACUUUGGAGCCAGUGUUCUGAGGACACCAGAUGCUGGCAUUCCAGAAAUGAUAUGGGGCCAUUCCACUGUGUUCCUUGACUGUUGCCUUGGCCAUCUCUUCCAGGUUUCAUAGCUAGUUUUGAUGCAGUUUCAUAGUUCAUGAUAGCAUUUUAUGGUGAGUUGUUGCCCUGUACACUAUUAUCCAGGUCUAGGGUCUUAAAGUUUUGGUUUUUUUUUUACAUCCCUGGAGUUCCUGUUGGUCUGGGCUUGUCUCAAAGGCCAAAAGAAAGGACAAAAACAAAAAAAAAACCAAAGUCAAUCAGAACUCAAGCAUCAGAAUUAGCACUCAUUCUCCAGGAAGGGAGAAAAUAUUGGCAAGAGCAGUGGAUACACUUCAUUUUAUUAUUCUGAAAUAUAAUUUAGGAAUGAGUUAUGUAUCCUUGCAAGGAUUUACACUCAUGCCCCUUUCUUUCUCCUGAACAUAGGAUUUUACAAAGAGAUACAUUUCUUCUUUCUUCCUUUCCUCUUGUGGUUGUCUUUUCUUGAAAAUAGAUCCUACUCUUGUGGUCUUAUAAUAUUUUAUUACCUCAGCUGUUCCUACAAGGCAAUGGGUCCACAGAUAAACAGUUUAACUGCCAAUUUGUGCUUUGGUGUUAAACACUUGCUUGCUAGGAUGACUGUGUCCUCAGCUGGACAUCCGUUACAAAGUCAACCUUUGCCCAUACCAAGAAAGCAUAAAAGAUAAUAUGCCUCACCAAAAUUAUGUCUUUGUGGAUUUUUCCAUUUUUUAAAUAAUCUGCUUUUACUUUAUGUGUGUUAGUGUCUAGUCUGCAUGUGUAUCUGUGUGAGGUUGGAAAAUACCUUGGAGCUGUAAUUUCAGGCAGAUGUGAGCUGCCACAUGGGUGCAAAGAAUUGAACCUGGAUCCAGUGGAAGACGAGACAGUGAUCUUCACUGCUGUGUCAUCUCUCCAGCUCAGUUUUUACCUUUAUACUCCUUGGGGUAAGAAUACCCUGGGCCUUACCUAGCAUAUUCUCUCUGGUUUGGUCCUAGCCAUUCUCAUUUUAAUAAAAGGCCUCUAAUGAACACAAAUUGAAAUUUGAGUCACACUAGUGAACCUCUGAAUGACCUCAGAACUUCAGCAUUUGGAGGCACCAGUGAGAUCUGGGCAGUCAGAGAGUUGCCGCCAGUCUUCUUCUGACUGGCCUUGGUUCUCUGGAGACUCUCAGCCAAGGGCCUGAUGAAAUGGAACAGCCCAGGUUGGGGGAUUGGUGGGCAAGUACCCAAUACCUAACCUUCAUAGAUGAGUGAAUAUUCAGGUCUUAACGACUUACAGUCUGGAACAAAACAUAGAUCAGAGAGUCCACUGCUUGUGGAUGCUGCAGGUGAAUUCCUGGUCUGCAGCCCUAGAAAAGUGAGAGGCCAAGUAUUUGCAUGAUUCAACAGCAAGUUUUCAAAUGCGAAAUUUGUAAAAGGAGGCAUCUGAAAGCCUCUGGAAUUCUGGGUAAUGAUCCUGUCUGUGCUAGUGUGCAGUCCUGAUACUGGUAGGAAAGCUGGAAGCAGCAUUAUUUCUGGACUCAUAGGGACCCAGAGGACUCUGGGACUCUUGGUUGGGUCUGGGUGAUCAAUUCUGGGAGAAGGAAUGGCCUCCAUUUGUAGUACCUUGUCUGUCUUUCCUGUGUUCCUCUGCUUUUCUUAGUGUUACUUAUUAUUUUUGAAAAAAAUCAGAAGUGAUGUGUCAUAAGUUUUCAUACAGGAGACCCCUCUGACCCUGGUGAAUCCCUACUUUAAGGAGUUCUAGAGAAAUACUCAGAAGUAUGGAAACAGGUCUAUGUUAGAAAAACAAUUACCUUUUAUUCCUUUGAUUGGCCUUCUUUCCAUGUCUUCUUUUCAUGUGUCUAUCCAGCUGCAGGGCUGUUCAUUCUUUCUCUUAUUUACAGGUCACAACCUAUGGAUUAUAGUUAACUAGGGCAUUUGGUUGAACUGCCCUACAUUCUGACCUGAAUGUUCAUGUUAAAGGAUUCCCCAUCCAUGAUAAGGAAGUGGCAGUCAAUUCUCCCCUAAUGCUAACCCUUAAUUUCAGAAGAAAUACGUGAAAUCAAAGGAUAGGACAAAGUCUAUUCCACAGUCUUGUCAGUCUCCCCAGAAGAAGAGGAAAUGCUGCCACCUUAUAAAUUUGGAAUAUUGGCCACAUAGAAACCAUCCAGUUGAGACACUCCCUGGCCCUUCUCACUUUCCCCAGUCACUUGUGAAGUAACCUUAUUCCCCCAGGGCACCGAUAUGAUGGAGAGGGACAAUCCAGAGGAACAGGGGUGAUAUAAGAGAAAUCAACAGUCAUUGUUGAAACAUUUUCCUUUCUCUAAUAGUGAUCUACAUAGUUGGAAAUCUUCAAAACCUCCCGCUCACAGUGAAACCCCCAAAGCUUACAUUCUCUAUAGGAAAUGAUCUUUUAUAAAAGCAUGUCAACAUGGGCAUAGUAUCCGCAGAUAAUUCAAAACCAAGGAGAGGAAAAUAACUCAACAGCAAGCCUAGGAAGUGGUCAUUGAAAUGACAGGAAAUCAACAACUGGCCCUGUGGUUAUCCAAGAAGUUUUCCUCAAACAGCUGGGAUGGGACCUGAGUUCUGGUAAUGGUAGGUAGUCUUUCAACCAUGGUCACCAGGCUCUGUUAGGGGGGUGUCUCUAGGCAACACCCAGAUAGCUCACAAAUUUAUCUAAGGUAAGCCAGAGUUCAGAUGAGUCCCAUUUGCUUUUCUGGAGUGCCUCCUAGAGAUCUUUCAGAGUUACACCCCAAAUGACCUGAAGCCACAGGAAAUCAGAGGUCUAUUAAUAUGGCUUUUGUUUCCCAGUCAGUGCCAGAUAGAUGGUAGGCAGUAAAUUUAGAAACCAAAGGUUUUCAAGAAAGGUUUUGUCAGAGUUAGUUAAAAUUCUUUCCUGAGUAUACUACGGAGGGCAGACAGACUAGGAAACUAGCUAUGGUGUUGUUGGUCACCUACCAACCACAGGAUACAGGCAUGCUUUGAGGAAAUGCAAGGGAAAGGCAAAAAAUGAUGGUAGCAGACAUAAAGAAAGAGAACACUUUUGUGGAAAAAGUAAUGUGUUGGGCCUAAGAAAGGCUUGGAUGUGAGGCCUAGUGUAAGCUCCUGAGCCUGGCUAGAGUUUAGCGACCUGUCUCUAACCUGUAACCUCCACAUGGGGGUGACUUAGCCAGAUCUGAUGCAAGAUUGACCCUGCCUAGCUACCUGCCUGCUUGAUGGAAUACUCUUGGCUCUUAACUCCUCAGGUCACCUUACCCUAUCCCAAGAUUCCCAUCCCCUACCUCAGUCCUAUAUAAGUUCCUGCGUGUUGGAAUAAAUCGAGAUCCUGCUUUGACAGAC